AUGCGAAUCAGGGCUAAGAGAACUCGCUAUGCCUCUGCCUCCUCAGUCUUUGCCGCAUCCAGGCCGUGUGGAUGGGCAGAGCUCCCGGAAGAUUUUCUCCAAUCAUUAGUCGCUCGCCUCGGCUCCUUCCGCGACCUCCUCGCCUUCGGUGGCACCUGUCGUCCUUGGCGUGAUCUAUUGUCAGCACGCACGUCCUCUUUGCAGCCUCUCCUCCUACACCCGAGUACCAACAGCCAACGAUCUCCCUGGUACCACCAAUGGAUUGUUUUCCAGGAAUGCACAUGGAAAUUGUCUGAUGGAGAUUGGCUGAUUCUGCUGCGGCCUCAUCCUGGCACAGUUUGCUUUCCUUGA
rnacentral:rRNA from 1 species